rnacentral:sRNA from 1 species
GGUGAAAUAAACAGCCAUGUUGCUCACACAAAGCCUGUUUGGUGGUCUCUUCACACGGACGCUCAUGAAAUUUGGUGAUGUGACUCGGAUAGGGGGACCUCCCUUGGGAGAUCAGUACCCUGUCCUCCUGCUCUUUGCUCCGUGAGAAAGAUCCACCUACAACCUCAGGUCCUUAGACCAACCAGCCCAAGAAACAUCUCACCAAUUUCAAAUCCAGACCCCACUGGAAAUCGGACUGUCCAACUCACCUGACAGCCACUCCCACAGCCGCUGGAACUCUGGCCCAAGGCUCUCUGACUCCUUCCCAGAUCUUCUUGGCUUAGCGGCUGAAGACUGACGCUGCCCGAUCGCCUCGGAAGCCCCCUAGACCAUCACGGACGCCGAGCUUCGGGUAACUCUCACAGUGGAAGAAGAAAACAGAUUCGGUUUACCUGAGACUCAACUUCAAUCCCUUGGACAGAAGAGUGCUAUGCUAGGUGCCAGAAACACAACUACAGAUUUCUACCUGGUGCAUGGCCAUCGCUCAUGACUGCUAUAAAAAUAGUAAACAAACAAACAAACAAAGUAAGUCUUGGGGAGGAUGCAGAGAAAUUAAAAUUUUUGUGCACUGUUAGUGGGAAUGUAAAAUGGUGCAGCUGUUACGGGAAACGGUAUGACAGUUCCUCAA